rnacentral:lncRNA from 1 species
AUUUGAUUACAAUAUUAUGGUUACCAGUAUACAAGCCGGACCUUCAUAGUAUUGGACCUAUACAGGACUAUUUGGAAUAAACUUGCGUUUCUAUGAUUUGGACAUUUCCGUCAUUAAGCACGUUAUUAACAUAUGGACUAUUGUGAUUUAAGCAUCCAGAAUUAAUUCUAGUUUUAAGUAAUUAACAAUUUAAACAAUUUGAAAGAAAACAAGACAUUUUAAAGAAAUUAAUUAUCUUCUACUAUCCUUAGGCACAGAGUCAAAUUUGAAUGGGGGGAGGUCCAGGGAGACUGGUAGUGAUUGGGGGAUUAUUUCACUCGGCCCUUGCUCUGGGCCUGACAAGUUCUACAAUUUGCAGGUUUGGAAAAAUGUGGUUAGUGGUAACGGUGGGGUCUACAGAUGGGUAACUCUGGGACCUCCUCCACCUCAUCUUAUAGAGGGGAGGCCUACACCUGCCAACAGGUGGGGCACUAAUAACUGGAGCAUUGGUAAUACGAGUGUUUUCCCCGGUCACUCCCCAUGGUAGGUGGUGGUGUAACCGUGUUUAACUACCAGGGGUUUUAUGACACUAUGUCAACAUAGGUCAGCUGAUAGCCAUUGUGUAUAGGUAAUCGGUAGUCACCCUGGCGCCUCAACAAAAUAUUAUAAAAUACUCUGUAGCCAAAGUAAUGCC